rnacentral:lncRNA from 1 species
CUCUUGGACAAGCUUGUUUUUGACAAGAUAAAACAAGAGCUAGGAGGACAAGUUUGUAUAAUGUUGUCUGGUGCUGCACCUUUGCCCAGGCAUGCGGAGGAAUUUAUCAGAAGGAUAUGGUAUGGUUGACUGCAUAACAUAAUGAAUAGAUACAUAUUAUACUUGAAUCAGUUAAAUCAUAGUGAAGAUCAAGAAAAUUGUACAAGGUUAAGUAUUCAUGGUAUAUGUGUUUGACCUAUGAGAUGUCAGUAUGAAUGCUUUUUUUGUACUCAUUCAAAUGACCUCAAGCCUUACUGA